AUUGAACGCUGGCGGCAGGCCUAACACAUGCAAGUCGAGCGGUUGACGGGAGCUUGCUCCCUGAUUCAGCGGCGGACGGGUGAGUAACGCCUAGGAAUCUGCCUAUUAGUGGGGGACAACGUUUCGAAAGGGACGCUAAUACCGCAUACGUCCUACGGGAGAAAGCAGGGGACCUUCGGGCCUUGCGCUAAUAGAUGAGCCUAGGUCGGAUUAGCUUGUUGGUGAGGUAAUGGCUCACCAAGGCGACGAUCCGUAACUGGUCGGAGAGGAUGAUCAGUCACACUGGAACUGAGACACGGUCCAGACUCCUACGGGAGGCAGCAGUGGGGAAUAUUGGACAAUGGGCGAAAGCCUGAUCCAGCCAUGCCGCGUGUGUGAAGAAGGUCUUCGGAUUGUAAAGCACUUUAAGUUGGGAGGAAGGGUUGUAGAUUAAUACUCUGCAAUUUUGACGUUACCGACAGAAUAAGCACCGGCUAACUCUGUGCCAGCCGCCGCAGUAACAC
rnacentral:rRNA from 1 species